ensembl:lncRNA
GCCCCGGGCGGGCUCCACACCCACCUGCUUCCCUCGGCGGCUCCGGCUCCACUGAGCCGGAGGGUCCGCGGCCCCGCGGGCGCCGCGCACGGGGCGGCGGGGAAAGCCCGGGGCGCCCCGGCCAGGAUGCGCUUGGAGGCUUCGCGGGAUUCCCUGGACCCCUCUGUUUUCGGCCGCGGAGUUAUCCCCCGGCCCUCCCCACACACCCCUGACCCUGGCCCGCUGCUCGACCCCGGGGGACUGGGGAGAGGAGAGCCAGCUCCUGAGUGAUGACCCGGAGUAUCCCCAGGGAAGGAGCGCGCGGGUAACGAGGAGCGCAGAGAGGAUCCGACUUUCCUCCGAGCUCCUCCAGCUCUAUUUGGGGGCCGUCGCCAGCUCCAUAAUCCCCGCUUUCCCAGAGAACUGUGCCAAGUUCCUCCUUGGAGAGGCAGCCAGAUGGACACCCAGAACUUUCCGUAUCUUCGUGUCGAGUAACAUCAAGAAGGGCUUCCCAGAUGGCUCAGUGGUAAAGAAUCUACUUGCUAAUGCACGAAAUGCAGGUUUGAUACCUGGGUCAGGAAGAUCCCCAGAGAAGGAAAAUGGCAACCCAGUCCAGUAUUCUUGCCUUGGAAAUCUCACGGACAGAGGAACCUGCCGAGCUACAGUCCCGAGGGUCGCAAAAGAAUGGCACACGACUUAGUGACUAAACAACAACAACAACAAUAUCAGGAAAAGGCAGCAAUUGUCGCUUAAUGAUAAUUAUGGGUGACAACAGUUGGACUGCCUCUGCUGCUAAGGGAAGGCGAUUAAAGAGAAAAAAAGCAUCAUCAACACUUUAUGGAAAACUUUUUAAAAGUGAUUAUUCAUAUUGUAUGUAAAAAAUCUAGGAAAAAAAGUGUUUUCAUUAGUAAUUCACUAUUAAUUAAAAUGCAUGUCAUUCGAAGUAGUGUCAAUUGAUGGUGUAUUAGAAAACUCUUUGCUAUCUGGUGCAUUGUGCCUGUUUAUAUCUCCUUAGUGGAAUUUUAAUAAAUCAUCAUAAGGG